rnacentral:rRNA from 1 species
GACGAACGCUGGCGGCGUGCUUAACACAUGCAAGUCGAACGCUGAAGCUCAGCUUGCUGGGUGGAUGAGUGGCGAACGGGUGAGUAACACGUGAGUAACCUGCCCUCUUCUUUGGGAUAACGCCCGGAAACGGGUGCUAAUACUGGAUAUUCACUGAUUCUCGCAUGGGGGUUGGUGGAAAGGUUUUUUCUGGUGGGGGAUGGGCUCGCGGCCUAUCAGCUUGUUGGUGGGGUGAUGGCCUACCAAGGCUUUGACGGGUCGCCGGCCUGAGAGGGUGACCGGUCACAUUGGGACUGGGAUACGGCCCAGACGCCUACGGGAGGCAGCAGUGGGGAAUAUUGCACAAUGGGCGAAAGCCUGAUGCAGCGACGCCGCGUGAGGGAUGGAGGCCUUCGGGUUGUAAACCUCUUUCGCUCAUGGUCAAGCCGCAGAUUUGGGUUGUGGUGAGGGUAGUGGGUAAAGAAGCGCCGGCUAACUACGUG